AACGUAGGAGGCGAGCGUUAUCCGGAUUCACUGGGCGUAAAGCGCGUGUAGGUGGUUCGUCAAGUCGAAUGUGAAAGCCCCUGGCCCAACUGGGGGAGGCCAUUCGAUACUGAGGGACUUGAGGCAAGGAGAGGAAGGUGGAAUUCCCGGUGUAGCGGUGGAAUGCGUAGAGAUCGGGAGGAACACCAGUGGCGAAAGCGGCCUUCUGGCCUUGUCCUGACACUGAGACGCGAAAGCGUGGGGAG
rnacentral:rRNA from 1 species